rnacentral:misc_RNA from 1 species
CGUUUUCCAAUUCAUUGCGAUCUUGCAACUCGGACGUCUUAGAUCAUUUCCUUUUGUGCGGAUGCUGUUAGAAAGCGAUUAAUUUCAUUGAAUUUCUGAUUUCUUAUGCGAUUUUUUUUUUCAAAACGAAAAACCGACAAACGGUUUCUUAUAUUUUUUCGUAAAAUUACGAACAUUUUAUUGAACAAUAGAAAGCAAUUAUUUAAAAGUGAGAUUCAAUUCUUAAGUACCCGUUACCAACGAAGGAAGCAUUUGGGCUGAGACGACGCGAAACACUUCAAACUUUUGAAAAGGAAAACAACUUGGCAAAAACUUCGACUUUUGCACUCAAGCCCCGACUCUCACUCGAGUUACAAUAAUAUAUAUUUAAUAUUUUCUGUUAAGAAAAAGCGAAUCUUUAACCAAGAUGCCGAAGCCAAUUGCUAGCCAAGAGGAUGAGGAUCCAACCCCAUACCUGUUUGUGUCUUUGGAACAAAGACGUAUCGAUCAAUCGAAACCCUAUGACUCCAAGAAGAAUUGCUGGGUGCCCGAUGAGAAGGAGGGUUAUCUUCUUGGUGAAAUUAAGGCCACCAAGGGUGACAUCGUCUCCGUGAGCCUUCCCGGCGGCGAGAGCAAAGACUUUAAGAAAGAUCAGCUUCAACAAGUCAAUCCUCCGAAAUACGAAAAGGCCGAGGAUAUGUCUAACUUGACAUAUUUGAACGACGCUUCUGUGCUGCAUAACUUGAGACAGCGGUACUACAACAAACUUAUCUACACCUACUCCGGUCUUUUCUGCGUUGCCAUCAAUCCUUACAAGCGUUACCCGGUAUAUACCAACCGUUGCGCUAAGAUGUACCGUGGCAAGCGCCGUAAUGAAGUGCCACCUCAUAUUUUCGCCAUUUCUGACGGUGCCUACGUCGACAUGUUGACCAACCACGUCAAUCAAUCUAUGUUGAUUACUGGUGAGUCUGGUGCUGGUAAGACUGAAAACACGAAGAAGGUAAUUGCGUAUUUCGCCACUGUCGGUGCCUCAACAAAGAAGGAUGAAUCGCAAAAGAACAAGGGUUCUCUGGAAGAUCAGGUCGUACAAACUAACCCUGUACUGGAAGCUUUCGGUAACGCUAAGACCGUGCGUAACGAUAACUCUUCUCGUUUCGGUAAAUUCAUCCGUAUUCACUUCGGCCCAAGCGGUAAAUUGGCUGGUGCUGACAUUGAGACUUAUUUGCUUGAGAAAGCUCGUGUAAUCUCUCAGCAAUCUUUGGAACGUUCAUACCACAUCUUCUACCAGAUUAUGUCUGGAUCCGUUCCCGGUGUUAAAGACGUUUGCUUCUUAUCUGAUAAUAUUUACGAUUACUAUAACGUGUCUCAGGGUAAAGUCACUGUACCCAACAUGGAUGACGGUGAGGAAUUCCAGCUGGCAGAUCAAGCCUUUGAUAUCUUGGGUUUCACCGCUCAAGAGAAACAGGAUGUCUACAAAAUCACCGCCGCUGUCAUGCACAUGGGUGGUAUGAAGUUCAAGCAACGUGGUCGCGAAGAGCAGGCUGAACAAGAUGGUGAAGAAGAAGGUGGUCGUGUGGCUAAAUUGUUCGGUUGUGACACCGCUGAACUUUACAAGAACUUGUUGAAGCCCCGCAUCAAGGUCGGUAACGAAUUCGUUACUCAAGGUCGUAACGUGCAACAGGUCACUAACUCCAUUGGUGCUCUCUGCAAGGGUGUAUUCGAUCGUCUCUUCAAAUGGCUGGUUAAGAAAUGUAACGAAACUCUGGAUACUCAACAAAAACGUCAGCACUUUAUUGGUGUACUGGAUAUUGCUGGUUUCGAAAUUUUCGACUACAACGGUUUCGAACAAUUGUGUAUCAACUUCACCAAUGAAAAAUUACAACAAUUCUUUAACCAUCACAUGUUUGUCUUGGAACAAGAAGAAUAUAAACGCGAGGGUAUCAAUUGGGACUUUAUCGAUUUUGGUAUGGAUUUGUUAGCUUGUAUCGAUCUCAUCGAAAAGCCUAUGGGUAUCUUAUCCAUCCUUGAAGAAGAGUCUAUGUUCCCCAAGGCUACCGAUCAAACAUUCGCCGACAAAUUAGUUAACACUCACUUGGGCAAAUCGGCACCAUUCCAGAAGCCGAAACCACCAAAGCCUGGCCAACAAGCUGCCCACUUCGCUAUUGGCCAUUAUGCAGGUGUUGUCGCUUAUAACAUCACCGGUUGGUUGGAAAAGAACAAGGAUCCAUUGAACGAUACUGUGGUCGAUCAAUUCAAGAAGUCGCAGAACAAGUUGUUGGUCGAAAUCUUCGCUGAUCAUCCAGGUCAAUCUGGUGGCGCUGAACAAUCAAAGGGCGGUCGUGGUAAGAAGGGUGGUGGCUUUGCUACUGUCUCUUCGGCUUACAGGGAACAGUUGAACAGCUUGAUGACCACUUUGCGUUCAACACAACCUCACUUCGUGCGUUGCAUCAUUCCUAAUGAAAUGAAACAACCUGGUGUUGUAGAUGCUCACUUGGUUAUGCACCAAUUGACAUGUAACGGUGUACUUGAAGGUAUCCGUAUUUGCCGCAAAGGUUUCCCCAACAGAAUGGUGUAUUCUGAUUUCAAGAUGCGUUACAUGAUCUUGGCUCCAGCCAUCAUGGCCGCUGAGAAACAACCCAAGAAUGCAGCUGCCAAGUGUUUGGAAUCUGUGGGAUUGGAUCCCGACAUGUACCGUAUUGGUCAUACUAAGGUAUUCUUCCGCGCUGGUGUCUUGGGUCAGAUGGAAGAAUUCCGUGAUGAGCGUCUCGGCAAAAUCAUGUCAUGGAUGCAAGGAUGGGCUCGUGGUUACUUGGCCCGUAGGAACUUCAAGAAAUUGCAAGAACAACGCUUGGCCCUCAAAGUUGUACAACGCAACUUGCGCAAAUACCUUCAACUCCGCACAUGGCCAUGGUACAAAUUGUGGCAGAAGAUCAAGCCUCUACUCAACGUUACCCGCGUUGAGGAUGAGAUUGCUCGUCUAGAAGAGAAGGCUAAGAAGGCUGAAGAAUUGCAUGCUGCUGAAGUGAAAGUACGCAAAGAAUUGGAAGCCCUCAAUGCUAAGCUGUUGGCUGAAAAGACUGCCCUUUUGGACUCGCUGUCCGGUGAGAAGGGUCAAUUGCAGGAUUUCCAGGAGAGAAACGCUAAAUUGACUGCCCAAAAGAACGAUCUCGAGAACCAAUUGCGUGAUAUCCAAGAUCGUUUGAGCCAAGAAGAGGAUGCUCGUAACCAAUUGUUCCAACAAAAGAAAAAGGCUGAUCAAGAAAUCUCUGGCCUAAAGAAGGACAUUGAAGAUCUCGAAUUGAGUGUUCAGAAGGCCGAACAAGAUAAGGCUACUAAGGAUCAUCAAAUCCGUAACUUGAAUGAUGAGAUCGCCCAUCAAGAUGAACUCAUCAAUAAGUUGAACAAGGAGAAGAAGAUGCAGGGUGAGACAAACCAGAAGACUGGCGAGGAACUCCAAGCUGCUGAAGACAAAAUCAAUCACUUGAACAAGGUUAAGGCUAAACUCGAACAAACUCUUGAUGAAUUGGAAGAUUCAUUGGAACGUGAGAAGAAACUACGUGGAGAUGUUGAAAAGGCCAAACGCAAGGUUGAGGGAGAUUUGAAACUUACCCAGGAAGCCGUAUCCGAUUUGGAACGCAACAAAAAGGAACUGGAACAGACCAUUCAACGCAAGGACAAAGAAUUGUCUUCAAUUACCGCCAAACUGGAAGAUGAACAGGUUGGUGUUGGUAAACAUCAACGUCAAAUCAAGGAAUUGCAAGCCCGCAUCGAAGAAUUGGAAGAAGAAGUUGAAGCUGAACGUCAAGCCCGCGCUAAAGCUGAAAAGCAACGCGCUGAUUUGGCUCGUGAAUUAGAGGAAUUGGGAGAGCGCUUGGAAGAAGCCGGUGGUGCCACAUCAGCCCAAAUUGAGCUCAAUAAGAAACGCGAAGCCGAACUCAGCAAGUUGCGUCGUGAUUUGGAAGAAGCCAACAUUCAGCACGAGUCCACUUUGGCCAACUUGCGCAAGAAGCACAACGAUGCUGUCGCUGAAAUGGCCGAACAAGUUGAUCAGCUUAACAAACUGAAGGCUAAGGCUGAAAAGGAGAAGAACGAAUACUACGCUCAAUUGAACGAUCUCCGCGCUGGUGUCGACCACCUUACCAACGAGAAGGCUGCCCAAGAAAAGAUUGCUAAGCAAUUACAACACACCUUGAAUGAAGUUCAAGGUAAAUUGGACGAAACCAACCGCACCCUCAAUGAUUUCGAUGCCUCCAAGAAGAAGCUGUCGAUCGAAAACUCAGAUCUGUUGCGUCAACUGGAGGAAGCAGAAUCGCAGGUGUCACAAUUGUCCAAAAUCAAGAUAUCCCUGACCACCCAAUUGGAAGAUACUAAACGUUUGGCUGACGAAGAAUCUCGCGAACGUGCCACCCUCUUGGGCAAGUUCCGAAACUUGGAACACGACCUGGACAAUCUGCGUGAGCAGGUAGAAGAGGAAGCCGAGGGCAAAGCUGAUUUGCAACGUCAACUCAGCAAAGCCAACGCUGAGGCUCAAGUAUGGCGUAGCAAAUACGAAUCGGAUGGUGUUGCUCGUUCUGAAGAAUUAGAAGAAGCUAAGAGGAAAUUGCAAGCUCGCUUGGCUGAGGCUGAGGAAACCAUUGAAUCUCUCAACCAGAAAUGCAUUGGUCUCGAGAAGACUAAGCAACGUUUGGCUACUGAAGUAGAAGAUUUGCAAUUGGAAGUCGAUCGUGCCAACGCUAUUGCCAAUGCUGCCGAAAAGAAACAGAAGGCAUUUGAUAAGAUUAUUGGCGAAUGGAAACUUAAGGUUGAUGACUUGGCUGCUGAAUUGGAUGCUUCACAAAAGGAAUGCCGCAACUAUUCCACCGAAUUGUUCCGUCUCAAGGGUGCCUACGAAGAAGGACAAGAACAGUUGGAAGCCGUUCGUCGUGAAAACAAGAAUCUUGCGGAUGAGGUUAAGGAUCUGCUAGACCAAAUCGGCGAAGGUGGCCGUAACAUUCAUGAAAUCGAAAAGGCACGCAAACGCUUGGAAGCUGAAAAGGAUGAACUUCAAGCUGCACUAGAGGAAGCUGAGGCCGCCCUGGAACAGGAAGAAAAUAAGGUUUUGCGCGCACAAUUGGAAUUAUCACAGGUACGUCAAGAAAUCGACCGCCGCAUUCAAGAGAAGGAAGAAGAAUUCGAAAACACCAGGAAGAAUCAUCAACGCGCUCUCGAUUCCAUGCAAGCCUCUCUUGAAGCCGAAGCAAAGGGUAAGGCUGAGGCGCUACGCAUGAAAAAGAAGUUGGAAGCCGAUAUUAAUGAGCUGGAAAUUGCCCUGGAUCAUGCUAACAAGGCUAACGCCGAGGCCCAGAAGAACAUAAAACGUUACCAACAACAGCUUAAGGAUAUUCAAACCGCCCUUGAAGAAGAACAGAGAGCCCGCGAUGAUGCUCGCGAGCAAUUGGGUAUCUCCGAACGCCGUGCCAAUGCCCUUCAGAACGAACUAGAGGAAUCCCGCACUCUGCUUGAGCAAGCCGAUCGUGGCCGUCGCCAAGCCGAACAAGAAUUGGCCGAUGCCCAUGAACAACUUAAUGAAGUUUCCGCCCAGAAUGCUUCUAUCUCAGCGGCUAAGAGGAAAUUGGAAUCUGAACUACAAACACUCCACUCCGAUUUGGACGAAUUGUUAAAUGAAGCCAAGAACUCUGAAGAGAAAGCCAAGAAGGCUAUGGUUGAUGCUGCCCGCCUUGCUGAUGAACUCCGCGCUGAACAAGAUCAUGCACAGACCCAAGAGAAACUGCGCAAGGCCUUGGAGCAACAAAUCAAGGAAUUGCAAGUUCGUUUGGAUGAGGCUGAAGCUAACGCACUGAAGGGUGGCAAGAAGGCUAUCCAAAAAUUGGAACAACGUGUUCGCGAGUUAGAGAACGAAUUGGACGGUGAACAGAGAAGACAUGCUGAUGCCCAAAAGAAUCUGCGUAAAUCUGAACGUCGUAUCAAGGAAUUGAGCUUCCAAUCUGAGGAAGAUCGUAAGAAUCACGAACGUAUGCAAGACUUGGUAGAUAAACUGCAACAAAAGAUCAAGACCUACAAGAGGCAAAUCGAGGAAGCCGAAGAAAUUGCUGCCCUUAACUUGGCCAAAUUCCGCAAGGCCCAGCAAGAACUCGAAGAAGCUGAGGAGCGUGCUGACUUGGCCGAACAAGCUAUCAGCAAAUUCCGCGCUAAGGGACGUGCAGGAUCUGUUGGACGUGGUGCCAGCCCAGCGAAUUGAAUACGGCUUGGCCAAUGAUCCAGCGAUAAAGUGGUGAUGUGAUCAAACACAACACAUGAGAAGCAAAUGCAAAGAGAAUUAUAGUUCAUAAGAAUCCACAACUGAAAAUUUAAAAUAAUUAAUAAAACUAAAAAAUCUUACGCAGUCUAUAUUAAAAUUUAAACAUUUUAGAAAAAUUUAGUUGAAUUAGUCAUCGUUACCUCGAUAAAAAAGAAAUAAUACAUAAAAAUAACAAAAAUAUCUUGAAUAAUUCUACUUUUUUAUUAUUAAAUAUGUAUGUAUAAACUGUAGCCGGCAUCGUCAAAAGGUGGCCGCCAGAAUACGCUGGACCAAUAAUUACUUCUCAUUACAUUUCCCCGAGCGAUGUCCGUACGGCCACAACUUGACGGAUUGGCUUUCCCACCAAGAUUCGACCUU